GCUACCAUGUUGAGCACACCCAAGCCAUCCGUGGAGAGGGCCCCAGGGUGAGGAAUGGAGGCCUCCAGCCUUCAGCCAUCUCAGAUGAGGAUCUCAGAUGAGGAUCCUCCAGCUCUAGCCAGGCCUCCAGAUGUCUACAGCCCUGGCCAACAGCUUGACUGCAAUCCCAUGAGAGCCUGAGCUAGAAACCCUCAGGGUCUACCAUGCCCUUGGGGAGGAAGAAGGGAAGAUAACAGUUCCCAUUUGACAGGAAAGAGGCUGAUCAUCUUAGAGUUCAAGUGACCACAGUCAUCCAGCAAAGACUGUAAAGCAGUGAAGGCCCCCUUCCUAUCAAGGCACCAAUCACCACCAGGGAUUGCACGGGUCCUGAGACAGCUGUCUCCCACAGGACAGUGCCUCAAAUGGUUCUAUCAUGCUUCCUUUGUUCUGCUCUUCUCUGGCAUAAUUAUGUCCUGGUUUCCAUUCACCUCCAACCUAGUAGCCCUCCUAGAGACACACCCAGACAACCUGUGUUCCUUUGAGAAGGUGGUCAUAGUGUCCUAGGUGUGGUUGAGCCACAACCCGAACAUGACUGUCACAUCCAUCUCUGCACUUUUCACAGAAGCCUUUUGUUAAGACAACACACACUUCUGGCCUGUCAUCUGUUUUGUAAAUAAAGGUUUAUUGGUACACAGCCAUGCC